rnacentral:rRNA from 1 species
GAUAAACGCUGGCGGCGUGCCUAACACAUGCAAGUCGAACGAUCCCGCAAGGGAGAGUGGCGGAAGGGUGAGUAACACGUGGGAAUCUACCUCCUCGCAGGGAACAACCUCUCGAAAGAGAGGCUAAUACCCAAAGGGUCAGAAAUGAUCAGAGUCGAAAGGCGUGAGGAGAGGAGCCCGCGGCCCAUCAGCUAGUUGGUGAGGUAAUGGCUUACCAAGGCUACGACGGGUAGGGGAUCUGAGAGGAUGUCCCCCACACUGGAACUGAAACACGGUCCAGACGCCUACGGGUGGCAGCAGUGAGGAAUACUGGACAAUGGGCGAAAGCCCGAUCCAGCAACGCCGCGUGGAGGAUGAAGGCCUUCGGGUCGUAAACUUCUUUAGAGGGAGACGAGAAAGGACGGUAUCCCUAGAAUAAGCGACGGCAAACUACGUGCCAGCAGCCGCGGUAAU